rnacentral:rRNA from 1 species
UACGUAGGGGGCUAGCGUUGUCCGGAUUUAUUGGGCGUAAAGAGCGUGUAGGCGGCCAGGUAGGUCUGCUGUGAAAACUCGAGGCUCAACCUCGAGACGUCGGCGGAAACCAUCUGGCUAGAGUCCGGAAGAGGAGAGUGGAAUUCCGUGGAUGUAGCGGUGAAAUGCGCAGAUAUCAGGAAGAACACCCGUGGCGAAGGCGGCUCUCUGGGACGGUACUGACGCUGAGACGCGAAAGCGUGGGGAGCGAACAGG